GUGCGAUUGGAUUGCACGUCUAAGCAGUAAGGCUGAGUAUUAGGCAAAUCCGGUACUCGUUAAGGCUGAGCUGUGAUGGGGAGAAGACAUUGUGUCUUCGAGUCGUUGAUUUCACACUGCCGAGAAAAGCCUCUAGAUAGAAAAUAGGUGCCCGUACCGCAAACCGACACAGGUAGUCAAGAUGAGAAUUCUAAGGUGAGCGAGCGAACUCUCGUUAAGGAACUCGGCAAAAUGACCCCGUAACUUCGGGAGAAGGGGUGCUCUUUAGGGUUAACGCCCAGAAGAGCCGCAGUGAAUAGGCCCAAGCGACUGUUUAUCAAAAACAC
rnacentral:rRNA from 1 species